AUGAGGUUUAUCUGCGUUGCUGUGGCCGUGCUCGGCCUUCUGUCCGUGGGACAGUCAGCUCCUGUGACCAGCUGUGAGAGUCUGACACAAACUCUUGACGUCACAAAGGAGCAGGUGCUGGGCAAGUGGAUUGUAGUGGCCGAAAGCACGGGCAUCCAAAAAGUUGAAGCUUUGAAAAGGGAGUUUCUGGAAAGCUACUGGUUGAAAGUCACUGCUAUUGAGGAUAGUGAUGCUAUCGCUGUCAUCACUUCAGUAAAAGUGUUUGGCAUUUGUUUCACGGCUGCCCUUAAGAUGACCUUGGAAAAUGGCACUUUCCAAAUAGUCCUACCUAAUGUGACACAGAGACACACUCACCCAUCAGGGUCUGUACCCACAAUGAACUUCCUGAAAACUGGCUGUUCGGACUGUCUGCUGUUUCGAACAAAACAGCUCAUGUUUGGACGUGAACUCAGUGGUCUUCAGUUGCUGAGUAAGAGACGGUCUGUGACUGCUGAUGAGCUGGGGGACUUAAAGAAGCAGGCAGAAUGUCUUAAGCUACUACAGCCUUUUAGGUUUAACUCAGAAGCAGAUCUUUGCACAGAGCCUCCCUCUCAAGACAUGGAGAAUUUAGAUCUGCCACGUGUGUACCUCGAUGGAGAGUAUUUGGAUUUUGGAAACUUCACAAGCGUAAAUGAGAUCAUGACCAGGAAUAAAGGAGUACAGAAUUUCCUCGCUAUGAUCCCCAAACUACAAUCAAGACUGAGCUAAGUGUACACAGUCUGUGUCUGAGAGAUAUCUGUCAAUAAAACAGAUACUAAAUGAAUCUGAUGUGUGACUUUUAAGUUUCAGUUAGUAGAAACACCCCCCCCCAAAAAAAAAAUUCCAAUAAACAAAACACGCUUUAACACGGAGCAUCUCCUGGACAUUAAACGUAAACAUGAGUAAAUACAGAAUCAAUCAUUCUUGCCAAUGGUCUAGUUAGCUCAUUUACCAGUACCAAGUUGGGGCGGCUGUAGCUCAGCAGGUAGAGCAGGUUGACUAGUGAUCGGAAGGUCGUUGGUUCGUAUCCCAGCUCCCCUGGGGCGGAUCUGAGGUGCAUGUUGAAGUAUCCUUGAGCAAGAUACUGAACCCCCAAAUUGCUCCUGGGCAGUUGGGACCUUGCAUGGCGGCCAUCAAUGAGCUGGCAACUCGCCAAGAUAAUCAAUACAGAUUGGCUCCAGUAACCCCCGCGACCCCUUGAAAAAGGGGGGAUGAAGCAGUUAAAUCCCCACAACUCUCACGGAUAACUGGUAGAUAAUGAGAUGAGACCAGUACCAAGUUUGUAGCUCUGUUGGAGUUGUUGAGGCAGGAAAUAGCACGUCAUGAUUAUUAAGACUAUGUGCACAGUCACUAUAUGGUAUAAAAUGAGGACCAGUGGAUUUUCAUUGUAUUUAAUGCUUCAUAGACACAGGGCUCUAGCAACAUAACUGAACACAUCUGAAAAUAAAUGUAUGUAUGUUGUAAUAAUGAUGUUAUUUGAACAAAGUCCCAUCACACACCAUCUGGGAACAUCUGGGCUAAACUACACCUGCAAAAAACAGUGGAGUGGUUUCGCAGGUUCCUUUAAGUCCUCUCAGACGCCUGUCUGAGAGCAGACAAAAGUAGAAUCAAGUGCAUCAAAAGCAACUCAGUUUGCCUUUUUGAUUUCUUUGUUCGAAGUAGAACCACAUAUUUGAAAACCUGUUAGCUACCUGUUGGACAUCAGCUAACAUUGGCAUUCAACCACUUAUGUCAUCUGGGGGCAAAUGGCGGACUUGUGUUCAAUCCAUAGAAUAAAACUAUAAUUAUUUGAUUGAACACAGGUUCAAAGGAGCAUUUAGAAACAAUUAGUAGACAAUUACGAUUAACAAUUAUAACAAUCAUAAAGCUGAUAGCUGAAGUUGGUUGCGAGUGAGACAUCUCACGUCUCUGCUCAUCUCUGUUGAGAGUUGCACAUGAGCAGUACCAAUGACAUUACUUUUUAAAUAUAUUUUUACUUCAGACUCUUUCAAACUCAGGACUGCAUGACAAAAGUUUAUAACAACAACAACAACAACAACGCAUGAAGUACAAUAAACACUUGGUGCCUGAAGUAUAUUUGGAUGCUCACAAUAACUUGUAACACAGUAUUUCUACACUAUGGUGUUUUGCUACUUUUAUUUAUGUACAAGAGCUGAGUACUUCAUCUACCAUAACUGCUAAAGUGCUAGUCUAUAGCUUUGUCUCCUUGUAAUCCCAUGAUGCGAGGCCAGUCCUGGCACUUGAAUGCUCCGGAGGGGCGUGUCUUUGUGAGAACGUAGGUGGGUUCAAUUAUAGCGCUUCACACCCAGAGGUUUCUGAAGAGCCAGAAUGAAGCUGAAGAGGGUGGUGCUGACUGACGCCAUCUUGGCAGUAACUGAUGCAGUAACUUGAUGAUACCCCUGACAUUUCAGCUUUUACUUCACUAAGCGCUUCUAGAUAUCCUGUGACCUCAAAGGACUGACAAUCGUCAUUGGACUUCACGUCUAUGGACAGAAAUAAAAACGACAGUGACUUACAGAGGAGGAUGCCCAUAGCCUUGUUUAUUGGUAGUUUAUUACUGUACAUACACCUGCUCAUGAGUCAUAUGUACAUAUAUCUUUCUCUCCCUCAAACACACAUACACACACACACACACAAAACACUCCAGAUUAUAUAAAAAGGACUUGUUUUCUGUGCAGGGUCCAAUCACAGUCUGAGAUCUACGAAGAGCAUCUGCAUCACCGUGCACAUACUCGCGCGCACACACACACACACCACAAAUAUCUGCAUAUGGCCGUACGCCUCGAUUUACACAGAACAGACCACAAUCAAAAUAUAUAGAAAAAUUACUGAUGAACCGAUAGGCAACCCAGUGGUAAUCAAGUGGAUUUGGGUGUUUUAACAUAUAAACCAACUCAUCGGAGCUUUGUGGGUCUGUGGAAUAUGUGCGUCCUUUACUAUCCAAGUAGGAAGACCUCAGAAAGGUCAGUUGAAUUUUUCUUAGGGACAUUUGUCAAUUUCAAAGCAAAACUCCAAAUGCAUCCUUUUACAGUUAUUCAAGUAAUGUGUCAACUGUAUGGUAUGCUUGACCCCCCUGGUGGAACAUACCUGACGCUGAAUUUGUUGAUGCUACAUUUUGUUGUUGAUCUAGUAUAAUCCCCUGAGUGUGAGCCAUACAAUCACCAAGAGCUGAGUGACCUCAAACCAAGAGGAUCUGUUCUCUCUCAGUCUCAGUAUCUGGAUGUUUUCAAGAUGUGAGCUGAGAGGGAAAAACUGAAUCUAUGCCAAAUUCAAAAAAGAUCUUCUUAGUCUGUUCUGCCUGUUCUUCUACUUGCUAGUAAAUGACCAUGUGUUUAAUUAAACAGAGAUGUGCUUUGUGAUGUGAUUUAUAACAUGUAGAGUUAAAAAAAAAUAGUCAUGGGCCCUCAUCAAGAAGCAGGAUUGUUAGCUGGCUUGAUAACUGAUCUAAACUGAACCUUCGUUUAAACUUGCAUUAAUUUACAUGUUAUCACCUUAAAGCUGCAGUAAGUGAUAUAUUCCCAUUAAAAUAAUUGUAAAAUAGCUCUAUAUUCUGACACUAAUCACUGUUAUAGUGUGUUUGGUCAGUAACCCGCAUUUCUCCUCCCCCUGCUCAAGCAGUGAAACAGGAAAGAUUUUUUUCCAUCUCCCCUCUCACUUUAUCCAAUCAGGACAGAGAACUCCAUAGGAUCCUCCUGUUUGCUGCUAUGUCGUUGUGCCUUCAUGUGGGGACGCAGAGCAGAGGGAGGGGAUUGCUAAGUGCAAAAUGGACAGGAAGUAAGCUAAAAUGACGACGACCCUUGCAGCAGCUUUAAGUUGAUAAUGGCAAACUUGGUAGCAAACAGUUGCCCACUCACACACACACACAGUAGACACAGAGCAACCCUAUUGUUCAUUUGGAGUUAUGUUUUUGGCCCCCCCCCCCCCCCCCCAAUUAAUGCAAAUCCAGAUUUAAAAGCUACAGGCAACAGAACCAAAACAAUGUGCUGAAAGACACUAAAAUGGUUAGAACUGCAUGGCUGCGUCAUCAUUUUCCCCUUUGACAUUAUAACGAAUUGUUUUUUAAUUGUUCAUAUAAAAAUACUAAUUAGUGCAGCUUUAACGGUGCAUUAUGUAAGAAUUGGGGUUUAAAAACAUUUUUAAAAAUGUACGGCUGUAUGUAAAAUUAUCAACAGAAUGUAAAGAAAUAACAGUUCUGGCAUUAUGUCAAAGAGAGAGAUAUCUAUUUAAGGUAGCAUGCUAACCAGCUAGCUCAAACCUGUCCUGCCUUGUAUUACCACCGCAACCUCCCAGUCUGGACAGCUAACUGCAUGGCUUACUGAGGUAACUAGUUACCGGUUACUCUACUGAUAUGCUGUUUGGAGUGACCCUUCUUCGACAUGUGGCCAAUUCUUACAUAUUGCACCUUUAAGUCCACAUUUCAGCAUUUUUUUACUCAGCACAGGUAUCAAGCUAACCCCUGUAAUCCUGCUUCAUGAUACAGAACCCCAGUAUCAGCUAACGGCUACCUAAUAAAGAAGACUCUCUGUCACCCCAGAGCUAUGAAUGCAAAGAGUCAGAUUAUAGUGAAAACAGAGGAACCCUCUCAUAAGAGCCACAUCCUUAACUUGAACAGCCAAUGUCAGCAGAUAAGGAAGAGGGGCCAUGUGACGGUAUGAAGGACACAGCCAUUGUGUGCUUUAGUGUUGACACAUGACCACAAAGACAAAAAACACUAAAUAACCAUGGCAUACCUUUGCAAAAAAAAACUAACAACAACUGAGGCCUAUUCCAUGAAUGCGCAUAUUACAUGUGCACUCUUGCUUUUAUAAAUAACUACAGCAAAAGUAACAAAGAUUGGUAAUGGCAAAAUGAAAAAGCAUCAAACAAAAGAACCCUGCUUUACAGAGUAAAGAGUAUCUCUUCAU
rnacentral:lncRNA from 1 species